CUCCACUACUUUUAGAUCCUCAGC
rnacentral:siRNA from 1 species